AAAAAGACAAACCCUGGUUUCCGUGCCCAACGUUUGACCGUCCGUCUUAUUUAAAAAAAUUAUAAAAAAAAUUAAAAAGACAAGUCACGCAUAAAAUAUUAAUCAUAUUUUAUCAUCUAACAACAAUGAAAAUAUGAAUUAUAAAAAAAUUUCAUAUAAGACGGACAGUUAAAGUUGGACACGGAAAUCUAGGAUUUGCCUUUUU
rnacentral:pre_miRNA from 1 species